UACUCAAAAUAAAUUUUGUUAUCAAAGAGCUGGAUAAUAAAUCAACAACAACAUAUAUUGCAAUAGAGACAUGGUCAAUAUCAAUUCAUAAUAUGUUUGAUAGAAUAUUCAGUGUUCAAUAUAGAGUAUUCAAUGAACUCUGAUCCAGAGCUGCACGGCAUUCUGGGAGAUGUAGGCAGAGGAAAGUCUUUAGCUGCUCAACCUCUCACAGCCAGCUAAGUAAGGCUUCUGGAAUCAACUAACUGACUCACUCUCUGGUUACCUAGCAACUCACUCUCACUUUGGUUACCUAGCAACGACUUGGUGAGUAACUGACGCAGCAGCAUCAGUUUAAAUUUUCAACUUU